rnacentral:lncRNA from 1 species
GAGCUUCAAAGGUCAUUGAAGAUGAGAAGAGGAGGCAAAUCCUCGUGAGAGAUCAGAGAGAUGCCAGAGCCAGAGUCCUUGCUGCAGAGUGGGAAGCGGAGAAAGCAAAGAUCAUCGUCGAGAGAGAUCAUUACAUUGCUGAGAGAGAUCAUUACUUCAGGCAGAUGAAGAUUCACCAGAAGGAGGUGGGGAGAUUACAG